CCUACGGGGGGCUGCAGUGGGGAAUAUUGGACAAUGGGGGCAACCCUGAUCCAGCCAUGCCGCGUGUGUGAAGAAGGCCCUCGGGUUGUAAAGCACUUUCAGUGAGGAAGAACGCCUGGUGGUUAAUACCCAUCAGGAAAGACAUCACUCACAGAAGAAGCACCGGCUAACUCCGUGCCAGCAGCCGCGGUAAUACGGAGGGUGCGAGCGUUAAUCGGAAUUACUGGGCGUAAAGCGCGCGUAGGUGGCUUGAUAAGCCGGUUGUGAAAGCCCCGGGCUCAACCUGGGAACGGCAUCCGGAACUGUCAAGCUAGAGUGCAGGAGAGGAAGGUAGAAUUCCCGGUGUAGCGGUGAAAUGCGUAGAGAUCGGGAGGAAUACCAGUGGCGAAGGCGGCCUUCUGGACUGACACUGACACUGAGGUGCGAAAGCGUGGGUAGCAAACAGGAUUAGAUACCCCGAUAGUC
rnacentral:rRNA from 1 species